rnacentral:rRNA from 1 species
AGUGAACGCUGGCGGUAGGCCUAACACAUGCAAGUCGAACGGCAGCACAGUAAGAGCUUGCUCUUACGGGUGGCGAGUGGCGGACGGGUGAGGAAUACAUCGGAAUCUACUUUUUCGUGGGGGAUAACGUAGGGAAACUUACGCUAAUACCGCAUACGACCUACGGGUGAAAGCAGGGGAUCUUCGGACCUUGCGCGAUUGAAUGAGCCGAUGUCGGAUUAGCUAGUUGGCGGGGUAAAGGCCCACCAAGGCGACGAUCCGUAGCUGGUCUGAGAGGAUGAUCAGCCACACUGGAACUGAGACACGGUCCAGACUCCUACGGGAGGCAGCAGUGGGGAAUAUUGGACAAUGGGCGCAAGCCUGAUCCAGCCAUACCGCGUGGGUGAAGAAGGCCUGCGGGUUGUAAAGCCCUUUUGUUGGGAAAGAAAAGCAGCAGGUUAAUACCCCGCUGUUCCGACGGUACCCAAAGAAUAAGCACCGGCUAACUUCGU